AGCAAGGCUUCAAAAAUAUCUUCCAGUGAAUGGAUGGGUAGUUAGCUGGAAGCCAUGAUGCUAAACAGGUAUGAUGCAACUGCCAUUUCUGUGAACCAAAAAAGAAUAUACAUGUACACAUCACCUGUGCACGGUGUCUGCAGAAGGCAGAGGGAAGGCAGGUAGAAGCAUUAAUUAAGAGCUGCAGAUUCAUCAGAUAAAAAUGUGUGACCCCAGGUUAGGUGCUGGGAUGCAGCAAUGCUGAGUUCCUGGGAUCCUGGGAUGCUGGAGGGCAUGUGCACACCACCCUCGGCCGUCAUCCUGGAGACGCGGGAGCUCGGCUGCCAGGUUGCUGAUACGCUCCAUGUUCAGGAGCUGUCCCACCGGGAAAGGUGUCCGUGGGGGUGAGGAGCCCUCUUCUGAUCCUCCUGCUUUCCUGGGGGGUGAAGCUGCUUUCCCAGAAAACACCAGGCCCCCCUCCCAGCUGCCGGACCCCACAGUGUGGUCUUUGUCCCCAGGGGCAGUGCUUUCUGCCCCUUUUGUUCUCUGCUGAUCCCCAGAGCCUGGCCCUGCACAGGUCGUCGGUGAUGUCUGUGGAUUAGAGACCUGCUCCCCUGUGCCUCCACAGGGGAGGGCCACACAUGCAUACACAUGCACACUCAGACACAUGGUCACACACAUGAUCAUGCUUACAUGUCACACACUAUACACACGCACUCUUGUGUACACAUGGCACACACUUACCCUAACGCAGCCACACAGUUCACACACACCCACCCCCUCCUGCUGACACUCUCACAGUCACACACAUGCACUCACCACACCCUCCCCUAGUGGGCUCUGGGGUUCCACCAACCGUAGCUGGGUGGCCACCCCAUGGUCUUCACCACUGCGUGGCCCAACACACAAAGGUGGCCUGGGGUCUCUCCCGACUCUAGGUCAGUUCUUCCUGGUUCCCUGGGCCAACAUUCUCCUGCGGGCCCAGUCUCAGUCAGCCCUCACACGUGGGGAUUCCAGCCCAGCCCCCUUUCCCAGACUCCACACUUGGAUUCUCAAGCCAUAGGUAAAGUAGCCGUGCCGGCACCGACUGGCCCCAAAGUGGAGCCGAUGCCACAAAGCACUGCCGGGCCAGACACCAGCCAGGCAGAGUGAGGAGAGCACAGGCCCCUGGGACAGCGGUGCAGGUCGGCUUCCAGCCAACUUUGGGGUCCCCAGGACCCCGCCUUUCUGGAGGGGUCACCAAGCCAGAGCUGGGCUCCACCUGGCCAUUUGUGAGAUGUGCAGCUUUGUGAGCUGGUGCUGCCCCUGGGGCAGUUUAAACAGCGGUGGUGGGAGGAUGUGCAAAUGCUUCCAACCAGGGGCUUCAUUUUCGCUUUUCCCUGGAGAGCCUGCUUGCCAGCACCCCGCUACCAGGGACCCUCCGUGCCUCCCCAACUCCACCUAACCCCUUCUCCAGCUCCCCUAGUGGGGGGCGGCACCUUGCUCUUCUGAGCGGAGCCGGGGAGAGCGAGGACCCCGCACAUCACCACGUCCCUCCUGCCCCCGGCUUCUGCUUGCCUGUCCCCAGGAGCUGGGAUGCCAGGUCGAUUUCAACUAAGUUCUCUUUUACGGACAUACACACCAGUGGGAUUUGAUUACUGGCCUCACCUGCGCUGGAAGAAGCUCUAUCUUUAACUUCUGUUCUGCUCAUUCUGCUCAUGUAUAUAUUCUGAGAUGUUUUAAACAACAAUUCACCCAUCUUCCUGGCUUUCACCUGAUGAAAUUACAAAUGUUCAGAAUUCUCACCACCUUCUGGUUAAGCAAGUGUCAUGGAUUGAACUGUGUCCCCCUGAAACUCUUAUGCUGGAGUCCUAGUCCCACGGCCUCAGAAUGUGGCCUUAUUUGGAGACAGGGUCUUCACAGAGGUGAUCUAUUUAACAGGAGGUCCCAGGGUGGGCCCUAAACCCCAUGGCUGGUGUCCAUAUAAGAUGGGCACAUUUGGACACCGAGACACAGACAAGAAGACGACCACAUACGGCCACGCGGGGUGCCCUCCAAGGAACCAACUCCGGCCGCACCUUGUUCUCGGCCUUCCCGCCUCCUUUCCCGCUGUUUAAGCCGCCCAUGAGAGUGCCCCGUGAUGGCAACGCCAGCGGGCGCAUAUACAGCAGGCCUCUGGGGUCCAGCCUGGGAGCCCAGACACAGACACCGUCUCUACCUGGCAAGAUGGGGUGAUGAAAUGAGAAAUGAAUAGAUCUGGUCUCUGCUCCCGAGACCCCGCACAGGGCUCCAAAAGCCCUCGAAUUUCCUGGGUGAUGGCAGCAGAUUCUUCCAUUCAAAUGAGGUGAGGCUUGGUGGCUCCUGGAGGGGGUCCAGUCACCAGAGAGACCAGCCAGGAUUAGCACCUGCAGCUCUCAACCCUGCACCCACCCUCCUCCAGGGAUCAUCCACCAUCAUCCUUCAUGUCUGCGAUGGAGCCUCCAUAAGAAUGCCUGGACUAUGGGUCCCGAGCAGUUCCAGGUUGCUGAACACAUCCACGGGCCAGGAGGGUGGUGCCCCCCACUCCACGGACACAGAAGCUCCUGGGCUGGGGACCCUUUCCGACCCUGCCCUGUGCCCCGGCCCACCUGGCUGCCCAUCUGCGGCCUUUCUCAUCUCCUUUUCCUGCGUUCUGUGAUAAUUUUGUGUUGCACUCUUGAUAUUUAAGGCUAAUGUGUAACUAGAAAACUGAGUUUUAAUAUUUAAUGCCCUUGGAUUUGGGAAAUCUCUUACUACAUUAUGUUUGGAUAUACUUUCUCUGAGGGGAUAAAUAUUUUAUCGAGGCUGU
rnacentral:lncRNA from 10 species